rnacentral:rRNA from 1 species
GCUAAACGCGAAGAACCUUACCAGGUCUUGACAUCCCUCUGAAUACCCUGGAGACAGGGUAGGCCUACGGGACAGAGGAGACAGGUGGUGCAUGGUUGUCGUCAGCUCGUGUCGUGAGAUGUUGGGUUAAGUCCCGCAACGAGCGCAACCCUUGAUUUUAGUUGCCAGCACGUAAAGGUGGGCACUCUAGAAUGACUGCCGGUGACAAACCGGAGGAAGGCGGGGAUGACGUCAAAUCAUCAUGCCCCUUAUGACCUGGGCUACACACGUACUACAAUGGCCGGUACAACGGGAGGCGAAGGGGCGACCCGGAGCGAAUCCUUAAAAGCCGGUCUCAGUUCGGAUUGCAGGCUGCAACUCGCCUGCAUGAAGUCGGAAUUGCUAGUAAUCGCGGAUCAGCAUGCCGCGGUGAAUCCGUUCCCGGGUCUUGUACACACCG